AUGGGAAAAGCCGCUGCCGGGAGGCCCGUCCUCUCCGAGAGCCCGCUCCGGCCCUUUGCUUCCUUCUUAUUUUUUAUUAUCGUCAUUAUUCUUGCGCUCGGUGCAGAUUGCCCCGAUGCAUCCUGCCCUUCACCUGGGACACGGUCGCUCCCGCCGUGCCGCGCAGCAAACCAGGGCGAAACCCGGCUGCGGCCGGAGUGGGAGAGGGCAGCGAGCGGCGCUGCGCGGAUGGCCGCCGCCGCCGCCGCCAAGGUGAUGCCUUGCGCUGAGUUAAAACACGCUAAGCAGAAAAUCUUUCCCAGAUGUCGGCAUCCUACGCUGCCGUGCGGGCUGCUGCGGCCGGCGGGCUCGGCGGGCCCUGCAAGUCGCGGCCGCCUCGUCCCGUCGCUGGCACAGUCUCCGAUUGCGACGGCCGUCUCUCCUCGCCCGCCAGCUCCUGAGACGCUGCAGGUGCCACCGCGGUGCUGCCUUGCUCAGUUCUCAGCAAACCUCCCUCCUUUCCCCCCUUUCCGAGCAGCAGCAGCAGCAGCAGCAGCCGGGACGUCGCGUGGCCCCGUUUUUCACGCUGCUUUCGGUCGAACGGCGUUUGAACGCGCGGCGGGCAGGAAAGCGGAGCCCCGCAGCGAAAGCGGCUCUGCAGAAGGAGCAGGGACGGCUCUGUCCCGGGAAGACACGUCACCUGCUGACACCCCCAGCGUGGGACACCCGCCGCUGCCCAAGCAAAGAGGGGGACGUGCUCCCGGGGCCGGCGUCGAGGAGAGCAGGAGGUUUGCCGCCCAGGAGCAGGUCGGCCCGGAGCGGCGAGCUGGGGUCUUUAGCAAAACGCAGAUCCGUGGUCUCGGCUGCAUCUCCGGCGCCUGCGAUGCCAAGCAAAAUCUGCCGCCAGUUGGAGCGGUGGAAGCAGGGAGCAGCCCCCGCGCGCCCGGGAUCUGCAGAGCCCAACUGUCGGCCAGCUGCUCGUCCCCGCGAGCGCGCGGUGCUGCAGGCAGAGCCCCUUUUCUCGCUGUAAUCAAGAAAAUAAAUUGCGCCGACUGGAGCAGCUGA
rnacentral:lncRNA from 1 species